rnacentral:lncRNA from 1 species
AUCGAUCACCUAGUGAAUUGAAAACCUAGCCUAGAAUAUUCAUAAUUACAGAAUAAAAAACGAAAUUAAUAAAUUGAAAGAAUAGCACCCGUAUGAAAAUUUCUUGAAAUCUUGAAUAAAGCCUUGAAAAUCCGCUUGAAUUCUUGUGGAAUCGGCUUCAAGAUCGUGUUUCUUGCCUCCAAAAGUUGUAAUUUUCUUCUCCCUGGA